rnacentral:ncRNA from 1 species
AAACAUAAAGGUUUGGUCCUAGCCUUCUUAUUAAUUAUUAGGCAAUUUACACAUGCAAGUAUCCGCCUACCAGUGAAAAUGCCUUCCAGAUCAUCACUGAUCAAAGACAGCUGGCAUCAAGCACACUCUAAAGUUGCUCAUAACGCCUUGCUUAGCCACACCCCUACGGGAUACAGCAGUAAUAAAAAUUUAGCUAUUAACGAAAGUUAGACUAAGUUAUCCUAAUUUUUUUAAUUUCGUGCCAGCCACCGCGGUCAUACAAUUAGUCCAAAUUAAUAAGCACCGGCGUAAAGUGUGUUUUAGAAUAAAAACAAAGUUAAACCUUAUAUAAGCCGUAAAAAGCUCAAGAUAAGACAAAAAUAAUUUACGAAAGUAACUUUAAUAACUUUGAAUACACGAUAGCUUGGACACAAGCUGGGAUUAGAUACCCCCCUAUGCCUAGUCCUAAACCUUGAUACCUACUAACAAAGUUAUCUGCCAGAGAACUACUAGCUAAAGCUUAAAACUCAAAGGACUUGGCGGUGCUUCAUACCCAUCUAGAGGAGCCUGUCCCAUAAUCGAUAAUCCCCGAUACACCUUACCAUUACUUGCUAAUUCAGCCUGUAUACCGCCAUCUUCAGCAAACCCUUAAAAAGGUAUCAAAGUAAGCCUAAUAAUAGCCCAUAAAAAAGUUAGGUCAAGGCGUAGCUCACGUAAUGGUCAAUGAUGGGCUACAUUUUCUAUUUUAGAAUACAUUAACAAAUAUCAUUAUGAAACAUGAUUAAAGGAGGAUUUAGCAGUAAAUUAAGAAUAGAGAGCUUAAUUGAACUAGGCCAUGAAGUACGCACACACCGCCCGUCACCCUCAAGCAUUUCUAAUCAAAUAAUUAUACUAUAGAUUUAAAUAAAUAUAAGAGGAGACAAGUCAUAACAAGGUAAGCAUACUGGAAAGUGUGCUUGGAUAAUCCAAAGC